CUCUGCAUUAAUCACUUUCCUGUUACUGGAAAAAGAUACCUGAAACCAGCAAUUUAAAGAGAGGUUAUUUUGGCUCAGUUUCAGUGCAUUCAGUCCAUGGUCAGCUGGCUCCAAGGCAGAAAUCUCAUGGCAGAAUGGUGGAAGAAAACUGUUUACCACAUGGUGAGCAAGCAGCAAGAGAAAAGAGUCAGGGAUGCGAGGCAUCUUUAACUUCCUGGUGUGUCCACUGCACUUUCAGCUUUAUUCUCACGCAUUGCUCUCUCAUGGGCUCCUGGCAGGGACUGUAACCCUGUUACACAUUGUGGGGUGGGUGGGGUGGCUGGCCUUCAAAGCCUUUUCAAAUAUGGGUGGAAGCUUCUAUGACCUCAGAACUCUUGCACUUUGUGUGACUGAAAAUCUAGCAUCGGGUGGAUGGCAUCAGGGCUGGCCACUAGCUAGGCUCCUUUGGACCAUGGCUGCAGCAGCCUCUAAGUGCCUAGAUGGCUAAACUUCGGGAUACAUUGGCUGACAGCUCUGUGAAUGAGCAUAUGUCCCAUGGACUCUUCUCAAGUGAAAAAUUUAGUUUUGUACCUUUGAGCCUGUAAUGGGUGAGUUCUUGACUUCUGGAAUGCCUUCAAGAUAUCUUUCUUCUUGUCCUUGUACAAAGUACUUGGCUUCUUUUUGAUGCUCUAACAUUUGCAGUAAUUAUCCUCUUUGCUCCAUCUUUGCAGGUACCUCCUUUCUAAUCAAAGUGCAAAUUUUCUAAAUCUGUAAGUUCCGCCAUUUGUUCCUGAUUCUUACUGAAGAUCUGGCUAAAAGCAGUCAGCAGUACUCAGACUGAAUGAUAGUCUGCCAUCCUUAAACUGUCUUUUAGUUUCAAGACAUGGGCAAAAUGGUCUCUAAUUCAACUACCAAUGGAGUCUUUGUUCAUAACAGAAACCUCUUUAGCCUGGCCUUUACUGUCUGCAUUCCUAUCAGCAUUCUGGUAUUCUGAGAUCUGACCAGUAUCACAAAUCAAGCACUGCUCACAACAUUCUAGGCCUUUUCUAGCCAACAUCUUCAAAGUUUUCGAAACUCCUCCUACAAACCAGUUCCAAACACAUCUGAAUCAUCUGGUCAGAUGGUCAUUGUAAUGGUUCCACUCCUGAUACCAAUUUUCUGUAUUAGUCACUUUCCCAUUACUGGGACAAAAUACCUGACAGCCACAACUUAAAAGAGGAGAGAGGUACAUUUUGCCUCAUAGUUUCAGUGGGUUCAGUCCAAGGUAAACUUACUCCAAGGCAGAAAUGGCAUGGAAGACAAAAGCUGUUCAAUGCAUGGUGGCCAGAUGCAGAGAGGAGCAGCUAGGGACAAGAAUAUACUCUUCCAAGUCAUGCUGCCUCCAGUGACUCUCCCCUUCCAACCAGAGCCCACAUCCAAACAUGAGCCUUUUGGGGCUAUUUUAGAUCAAAAUCAUAACAUUUGUGAUUUCUAAAUUCCAAUGAACAGAGGAAAGGACAAGGAUCCCAG
ensembl:lncRNA